rnacentral:lncRNA from 1 species
GGCAAUUAGAAGGACUGUUAGCCCUAGUUAAUGUGGUCAAGUGAUGUCAAUUGUUUAGGUGCAAGGAACAGAACCGACGCUGCUGGACUUAAGGAGCAAAGGAAUUUAUCAGAAGGAUAUUGGAUGGCUUGCAGGAACCUGAGAGGCCCAGAGCCAGGCACUGAGGCUCUGCAGCCAGGAACAAUUGCCCACAAGAAAGCCUUAGAAACACUUCUGUGCUGGACCCCACAAGUUCCACCACUGACAACACGGGAUCAAUAAUGCGGCUACGGUCACUGCCAUCAUCUGCUCUGUACCGCACCUGCUUCUUCCAAACCCCUGAUUUCUCAUCAAUCAGGGUUAGGGAAGAUGUCCCUGACUGGCCUGUGCCUUCAGUUGUGCUCAAGGAGCUGGAAAAGCAAGAUCUGGCUUAAAGAAAGAAGCCCUCUUCUGCCUGAGACCAAGUAAUCAACAAUGUAACUACAGGUUUGUAAUAUGAUACCUAUUUUUCCUCUCUUUCGUAGUUAAUCAAAAGAUACAUUCACAAAUUCUCAAACGCUAUGGUAACUGAAUAUUAUCAGUAGCAAAUUAUGCAGUCCCCUGCCAAAGUUUCCUAGGUAAUUAAUUAUAUGAGAUAUUGCUUUUCUGGAGCAUCCUCUGCCCCCAAAUCCCACUCCUAGGACGAUUUAUUCAUUUGGCAAAUAUCUAUACAGCUAUUGUUAUGUGCUAGGCACUGUACUAGAUGUGGGGCAUAUACCAGGGAAUAAGACGGACAAGAUCCCAUUCUCACAGAAUGCCUAGUAGAAGGAAAAAAUAGUGAACAACAAGUUAUGCAUGUUUUUGGAUAAUAUUAUUUUAGUUGGGGUAAAAUACACAUAGACUGUACCAUCUUAAUCAUUUGUAGAUGUACAGUUCAGGGGUAUUAAGCACAUUCACAUUGUUGUACAACCAUCACCACCAUCCACCCACAGAGCUCUUUUCAUCUAGCAAAACUGAAACUCUGUACCCAUUAAACGAUAACUGACCGCCCUCUCCCUCCACCUGCUAGUCAGCACCAGUCUUUCCUAUCCCUGUGAAACUGACCACUCUAGGUACCGCAUACAAGUGAAGUCACAGUAUUUGUCUUUUUGUGCUAUGUCACUUAGCAUAAUGUCCUCAAAGUUUAUUCAUGUUGUACUGUGUGUCACAAUAGCUUUCCUCUAGAAGGCUGAAUAAAAUCCCAUUGUAGGCAUACACUGUAUUUUAUUUAUCCAUUCAACUGUUAAUGGACAAUUGGGUCGUCUCCACUUUUUGGAUAAUAUUUUAAAGCUAUUUUUGACCAGGCACGGUGGAUCACUCCUGUAAUCCCAGCACUUUGAGAGGCUGAGGUGGGCGGAUCGCUUGAGUGCAGGAGUUUGAGACCAGCAGGGCAACAUAUGGAGACCCCAUCUCUACAAAAAAUACCAAAAAAAAAAUUAGCUGGCCCAGUCUCUACAAAAAAUACAAAAAAAAGAAUGUAAGGGCAAUCUGGCUGCAAUAUCUGUCACCCUACUGAUCACCAGGGUUGAUUUGGCUAAUCUGGCUGGCUAGGAAGGUGUCCCCUUCCUCCCUCACGGCUCCAUGUGCGUCCCUCCGGAAGCUGUGUGCUCAGUCAAAGGGGACGACCAUCCCCAACAGAGGAGGACUGGUCUUCGGUCAAGGGUAUAUGAGUAGCUGCACUCCCCUACCAGAACCUCCAUUCAAGCUCUCAAAAAAUACGGGAAAAACAUUAGCUGCUUGGGAGGCUGAGGUGGGAGCCUGAGCCCAGAGAAGUUGAGUGAGCCAUGAUUGUGUCACUGCACUCCAGCCUGGGAAACAGUGAGACCUUGUCUCAAAAGAAAAAGAGGUAUUUUAAAUUUUUUUAAAAGAGGUUUAAGUUUCCACACUAGACUUAUAAAGCCAGUAAACACUGGCAAAUUAUUCUUCUCACAUAACUUUAACUGCACAUUCCCUGACAGAGUAAAUAUAUAUUUGACCUACUAUUUUUAAAAUAUUAACCAUUGUUUUUUCUCUCUAGCUAUUUCCUUCCUCUCCCUGUGUUCUCCCCAUUUAAAUAGUGACGCUGGCCAGACACACUGGCUCACACCUGUAAUCACAGCAAUUUGGGAGCCCAAGGCAGGAAGAUCACUUGAUCCCAGGAGUUUGCGACCAGCCUGGGCCACAUAGCAAGACUCUCAUGUCUUACCAAAAAAAAAGCUUGGGCAACAUGGCGAAACCCUGUCUCUACAAAAAAUACAAAAAAUUAGCUAGGCAUGGUGGCAUACGCUUGUGGUCCUGGCUACUAGGUAGACUGAGAUGGGAGGAUCGCUGGAACCUGGGAGGUAGAGGUCACAAUGAGCCAACAUCACGCCACUGCACUCCAGCCUAUGCCACAGAGCAAGAGCCUGUCUCCAAAAAAAAAAAAAAAAAAUAGUGAGGCCGUGUUCACUGCUUAGAGGAGGUGUUAGCAGCAAAAAGCCUUUUCCAAGGGUCUCUCUGGCCAUGGCGUCCAAUAGCCUAGGUACUUAAGUAGAACCAUAUAGGACUUUAGAUUAUCUUAACAGACAGCUUUAUAGACAGGUAACACUGAAGAUAAGGGGGGCACCCCCAACACCUUCCCCUCUUCUCCUCUUCACUCCAACUAUAGAGGCUUAGUCCUACGUAACUAUAGAAACUUUUGGGGUUGGGCGCUGUGGCUCAUGCCUGUAAUCGCAGCACUUUGGGAGGCUGAGGUGGGCAAAUCCCUUGAGGU